AUUUUAUGUAGGGUUACUGGUAAUAUUGAGCAAGCAGUGAAAAACGUAUAGUGUCGGAUAAAACGAAAGCACAUAAAUGUAAACCUAAAAUUAAUCAAGAUUCAACUUUAAAGUACAGUAAUGAUUUCCAGUAAUAAUAGUAUUGAUAUGAUGACAAUGAUAGUUUGACAGUAAUGAUUUUCCUUCAUAGAGGAAAAGGAUGAACGUUAAAGUAACUUAGAAGUGUAGUUUCCCUGUGAAAAGGGCGUGUCAGAACAAAAACUGUGAAGAAAGCUUCUCGUGUAAUUAUUGAAAAAUAUUAUACACGACUUACCUUGGACUUUCAUACAAACAAAAGGAUAUGUGAAGAAAUAGCAAUUAUACCCAG